rnacentral:rRNA from 1 species
UACGUAGGGGGCCAGCGUUGUCCGAAGUUACUGGGCGUAAAGAGCGCGUAGGCGGGUCUUUAAGUGAGAGGUGAAAUCUCGGGGCUCAACCCCGAGACUGCCUUUCAUACUGGGGACCUUGAGUGCGGGAGAGGCGAGUGGAAUGGUCGGAGUAGCGGUGAAAUGCGUAGAUAUCGAUCGGAACACCCAUGGCGAAGGCAGCUCGCUGGCCUGCAACUGACGCUGAGGCGCGAAAGCCGGGGGAGCAAACAGG